rnacentral:rRNA from 1 species
GAGUUUGAUCCUGACUCAGAACGAACGCUGGCGGCGUGCUUAACACAUGCAAGUCGAGUGCGCGUUUCUGUAGCAAUACAGGAAUGGCGCACGGCGCACGGGUGCGUAACACGUGGGUAAUCUGCCCUCUGAUGGGGAAUAACCCGCCGAAAGGCGGGCUAAUUCCGCAUAACAUUCCUUGGACUCCGGUCCGAGGAUUCAAAGGCGUAAGUCGUCGGAGGUGGAACCCGCGCCCGAUUAGCUAGUUGGUGAGGUAACGGCCCACCAAGGCAAUGAUCGGUAGCUGGUCUGAGAGGAUGGCCAGCCACACUGGAACUGAGACACGGUCCAGACUCCUACGGGAGGCAGCAGUGGGGAAUCUUGCACAAUGGGCGAAAGCCUGAUGCAGCGACGCCGCGUGGGGGAUGAAGCUUCUCGGAGUGUAAACCCCUUUCGACCCGGACGAAUGCCCCGCAAGGGGAGUGACGGUACGGGUAUAAGAAGCCCCGGCUAACUACGUGCCAGCAGCCGCGGUAAGACGUGGGGGGCCAGCGUUGUUCGGAAUUACUGGGUGUAAAGGGUUCGUAGGCGGUGUGGCAAGUUGGGAGUGAAAUCUCUGGGCUCAACUCAGAGGCUGCUUCCAAAACUGCUGUGCUAGAGUGUGGGAGAGGCGCGUGGAAUUGCAGGUGUAGCGGUGAAAUGCGUAGAUAUCUGCAGGAGCACCCGUGGCGAAAGCGGCGCGCUGGACCACUACUGAC